UGGAUUAGAAAUGAUAUAAUGUUUUAUUUGGAAUAUUUAUUAUAAAAUUAUGAUUAUUGUUAUAAUACAAAAAUUGAACUUGUGAGUUUAUAUGGCUAAAUUUUAGUGAUUAUUUGUUAAUUUUAUGAAUUUUCAUGAUGUGUUAUUUCAUAUGUAUUGAUGAUAAAAUCGUGAAUAAUGUAAAAGCAUGAAAAUUGAAUAAAUGAUCAAGUUGAGCAUUUCAGUUCAG
rnacentral:lncRNA from 1 species